GUUUUUGAACUUUUGAAAAUUGUUCUGAUUGUUGACACUAAUCCAUGCCUAUAUAUAAUCUACUGCUGAUGAUCAACUUUCAAUGCAAAUGCUUAUUAUGUGUUUAUGUUUUAACGUUUGAGCUAUAUCUAGGUUCAGAAAUAUUUAACUAUGAUCUUCUAAAGGACUCUAUGAUUAGUGGCAUUUUACUAUAUCUGAUUAUCUGUGCAUGUCUGUAUAACAAUUGGGCAG
rnacentral:misc_RNA from 1 species